rnacentral:rRNA from 1 species
UACGUAGGGGGCAAGCGUUGUUCGGAAUGACUGGGCGUAAAGGGUGUGUAGGCGGUUUAUUAAGUUAAAUGUGAAAGCCCGGGGCUUAACUCCGGAACUGCAUUUAAAACUGGUAGACUUGAGUGUGGGAGAGGCAAGUGGAAUUCCUAGUGUAGCGGUGGAAUGCGUAGAUAUUAGGAGGAACAUCAGAGGCGAAGGCGACUUGCUGGAACAUAACUGACGCUGAGGCACGAAAGCGUGGGGAGCAAAC